rnacentral:sRNA from 1 species
UAUUCUGCCCUACGGGGAAGGAUGAGAAGCUUCGACUAAGGUUCGACUCGAGCGUCAGCGAGAGAACGUUGCCGCAGGCAACGGCCCGAAGGGCGAGGCGCUUUAGCGCCGAGUAAUCCUUC